rnacentral:lncRNA from 13 species
CAGAGACCAGGCUGGUGCUACAUGGUGACACAAGACUGGAAAUAGUCCAGGUUUGGGAAAUAUUCACAAGUGCACCCCAGGCCCGAUUUUGAAACAUCUUUUGAGACAUCCAAGUGGAUAUGUCAAAGAAAGACAUUAGACAAUGAAAGAGGCUUUCCCACUCCCAGUGCAAGUGACCUCCUCAUCCCCAGUAGAAGCAACCUUACUGGGUGUGGGAUAGUGGCUUCUCUAAUCUCAUCUUCAGAAAGUAACCCCUCAUUGCCCAAGGAAACUGUAAUGGCCUCCUCUGAGGCAGUUGCCAUGGAAGACAAUACUGAUUCUCCUCAGGACCUAUCUCGACUACUUCUCCUUGAUUCUUGACCUACAACUAGACUCAAGUCACAAAAGGCCCCUACAGGCCUUCAGACUCAGACUGGAACAUAUAUCAUCAACUCUCCUGGGUCUCCAGCUCACCAACCAGAGAUCUUGAGACUUCUCAGCCUCUAUAACUAUAUGAACCAAUUCCUUAUAAUAAUAUGUUUCUCUGAAGAACCCAGACUAAUACAGUAGCAAAGGGAAAACUGAACCUGGAAGAGUCUCGUGUUGACCUUAAUGCUACAGCAAAGAAAUGACACAUGUUGCUCAUGUUUUCAACUCAUGGGCCAAAACUAGUCACAGGACACCAUCAAAAAUGGAGUCAGAAAAUGCCAAUCAUAUCAUGUACAUCCUUGGAAUGAGGAGAGAUGAGAAUAUUUGUGGUAAACAGCACUAAUAAGCACCAUAUUAAGGAAAUGCUACCCUCUUGGAGGCAGAAGGUGCCAUGGCGCUGAUGAUUCUCAGCUCUGCCAACUUCCGGGUGCCACUUUGUGUUUCCUAGUGCACUGUGGUGAUGCAUUAUAACCAAAUCUUAAAUAAGGAAAAUAAAAACGGUAACAGGGUAAAUUUAGAAAAGAGU